rnacentral:rRNA from 1 species
UACGGGGGGGGCAAGCGUUGUUCGGAAUUACUGGGCGUAAAGGGCUCGUAGGCGGCCAACUACGUCGGACGUGAAAUCCCUCGGCUUAACCGGGGAACUGCGUCCGAUACUGGAUGGCUUGAGUUUGGGAGAGGGAUGCGGAAUUCCAGGUGUAGCGGUGAAAUGCGUAGAUAUCUGGAGGAACACCGGUGGCGAAGGCGGCAUCCUGGACCAAUUACUGACGCUGAGUGAGCGAAAGCCAGGGGAGCAAACGGG